rnacentral:lncRNA from 1 species
UGUAGAAAGAAAAUAACAUUUGAUAUGAUUAGUACCAGGUAAUUCACAAUUCUAUUUUUUUUUUUUUUUUUUUUUUUUUUUUUUUUUUUUUUUUUUUUUUGCACAAUUAGGCUGUGUGUGGUUGGAUGAAAUUGAUUUUGUUAGGAAUUGAAUGGAGAUUGAAAUGUAAUGAUGAGGAAUAGUCAUUCUUAUUUUGUAAGGAAUGGAAAAGAAUGGGAAUGGAGUGGAUAUUCUUUUAUUAACCUAGAGUAAUGGUUAAUUCUUAUGUGCUAGUAAAUGACCAUUCCUAAUAGAAUGACUAUUUUGUUAAUUUUUGAUCAACUAAACACUAGAAUAAUAAUUCCAACGGAAUGACCUUUCAAUUCCAUCCAACCAAACAUAACCUAAGAUGCUUGGGCUAGUUCUUCUGUUCGUAGAUGUAGUGUCUAGUGUUGUCUUUUCAUGAUGACCCCUUCAUCAAGGGUGUUUACGGCUCCAAAGGACAUUUGACAUUUAUCCCUUGCAAAGUUACGCUGAAAAAACUCAAAUCCAAUUGACUCCCACAAGAGUAUAUGACUUUACACUUUAACUGAAUCAAUAAAUGUGUUUGUUUUUUGCAUGAAAUCACCAAAACCUCAACACUUAAGCCAAAAAAUAUGAAUACAUACAUAUCUGUAAUCUGACUAUUAACACUUGAGCCGAAAAGUCUUGUGUCGCUUACCAGUGGUCAAUAGACAUACACAUAAAUCGCUUCGUUUUUGUUUUUCCAUUCCGACAAAUAUAGCAAUUUGUACUGGCAAUUCCUUUGUUCAGCUACUUUUUUUCAUUCUAAGCAAUGUUAAGUGGUAACUAUUCAAGCAAAAAGCUACAAGUGGUUAGGCCACUUUUUCGUUCAGUAUAUUAGAAAAGGCCCGUCAAUGGAUCGGAUAAAAUUUGGAUCCGAUCCGAAUCCAAUCCAAAAAAAAUCUGAAUCCAUUAACAAAAGUCUGAUCUGAAAAUCCAUAUAAUCCGAAUCUGGUUCAUCCGUGUUUCUCAAAUCGGAUUCAAAUAUCCAAAUCCAGUCCACGUUUUGAACUCGAUCUGAGAAAAAAAAUAUUUUUUUCCUCCCAUAUCAAAAAUUCUCUACUUCUUUGGGUUGGUUUUUAAAAAAGAAAGAAAAACGGAUUGAAUCGGAUAUCCAUUUAAAAUGGCGGAUUCGAAUUUGUUAAAUUAGAUCGGAUUCGGAUUUUCACAGAUUUGAUCCAAAUCUGAUCCAUUGACAGGCCUAGAAAUGGAAUGACCGCAUCAUUCUUCAUUCAUUGAAUUUUGUGCAAGUGUUUCCAGAUAUUUCCAGGUUGACACAUUGUGCAAUUCUUUCAACAUUUUUUGUGCAUUUAUCCGUAAUCGGAACCAUAAUUAAUACAUUUUGCCAUGGGUUUCUUGAUUGGAUUUCUUCUAUUUAUGCAUUGACUAGAUUUGCUUCUUUUCUAUCUCUGGAACAUUUAUAAAGUUAUCAAUCAAACAUGUGUCUUUUUAUAAUGCUACAUGGACAUGCUUUUAAAGAAUUUAAUAUAUUUUUCUGGACUUGUUUUCCCAUAUCAACUUUCUGUUGUUGGUACUGAUAAGCUUUGGCCUUGUCAAGGAGUUUGUUUCAGGUAGUGGAAAAAACUUAUACUAGGCAACCGCUCCCCCUUAAGGCAUCCCAAGAUAUUUUCAGAUGAAUGAACCACAUACAGGAUCAAGGAUUUCAAUGUUUGUCAGUUUUGAUUGAGAUCUUACGAGAGGAAAGUUUUUGUAUUCUCUUAAUGAUCGGAAGGGAGUUUCUUGGCUGUUUUACCUUUAUGCAAGCUAGACGCAAGUUCAACUCCCUAACCUUGGAAUUAAUGUUUGCAGAAAGCUUUGCAUGAGGGAGGAUGGUAAAAACAGCAGGUCUGUAUCGUGGGUGUGCAUAGAUAUACCGAGUAUCAAAAUGUAGAUACAGUGAAGGAAUUAAUCGAGAGAGGAAAUUGCAACAAGGAGUACUGGCCACCAACUGCAGUGCAAACGAGGAAUCCUCUCGAUCACAUGUGCUAUUACUCAGCUUGCCAUCAAGAGACCCGUCGAUGGCUAACGACUCAAAGCUCUGCCUAGACUUUGUUGGCAAGCUCUCUUUCUAUCGUAUCUUGCUGGAAUGUGAACGUGGUGCAGAUACUAUCUGAUAAUGAUAAACAAAAAAGGUAGAAUUUCUUUUUUCUGAUCUUGUUUUGCUCUUUUCUCAUGUAAACAGUAUAUAAUAUAUUAAGGUACUUAAAACCCCAAAGGUCGGCCUGGGGUCUAGUCCUGGGACUUGGAAGUCUGCUCCCUUCUAAGGUUUUAGGUUCAAAACCUUCUAGUGUUAUCAAUUUCUGAGUUGGGUCAGUUUAUAUAGGGCUUUGCCUCGGCUUUAAUCGGGCCCCUCUAGUAGAUAGUGGAAUUAGUCUCCCGGAUUAGUCGGUCCUUGGGCCGGAUACCGAGUUAUCAAAAAAUAUAUUAAUGUUAAAACUCUAACAGUUUAAGCUUUUUAGAUGAUAUCGUUGUCAACAUUAGUUGGUCCUUGGGCCGGAUACCGAGUUAUCAAAAAAUAUAUUAAUGUUACAUUUUCUCUAACAGUUUAAGCUUUUUAGAUGAUAUUGUGGUCAAAAACUUAACAUUGUAUGGGAGCAGGCAAUCGAACCUAUGUUAUAAACUCACCCAACCCCAUUAUCACAUGUUUCUCCUCCUGAGCAAUUUAUGCAACGUAUUGCAUAACCAGGUUCUCGGAUUUAUGUUUCGAUUUUUCGAUCUCUCUAUCAAUCUUGAAAUUGGAUUAGCUAAAAAUCUAAACCAGUUCUAUAUUUAUUUUCAAACUGUGUGCAAGAAAAUGUUGGUAAAUGCAGUGUGGGUUGGAAAAGUUAAGUUGAGUUUUGUACUUCUGUUUCAUGAAUGGAAGGUGCUGAAAUUACAAAAGCUCUUGUUUGAAAGAAUGCAUUAGAGCUCUUGACAAUGACCAAGGUCACUGCCAUUGUUUUUAGAGGGAGUAAGGUUGACUGAAGUUCUUCGAGAUCGUUUGUUGGCGAUUACGCACGGUUCUGAUAUCAUGCAUUUCACCGAAUUCAGGAUCGUGCGGAGCACACGCUCAACCACCUAUGAGAUAUGCGAAAGGUAAUUUUGUUUUUUUAAUUUUAUUUUUUUUACAAAAAAUGAUUUUGAACGGCAUAGUCUUUGCUAAAAGUUCGGAUUGACUUUAAUGUUCCAGAGUCAAGAGUUCUGUAGGGAACAGCCAGAGAGAUCCUUGCUGUCAUCUUCAACUUAGAAGAUCAUUGCAUUGCGUUAUCAUAAGUUUCACCAACCUUAAUGAAUGUUCUGAUGAAACUAACCGGUUUGGGUGGUCCAAACAAAUCGAAAGAGACUCCUCGUCAUCUUUAAACGUGAGCGUGUUCCAAGCGGAAGGGUACAGGGGCAAUUGGACUUCAUCGUUUUCUAGAACUUGUAGGGCGGGCCGAACAGAGGGGUAGUGACAUUAAUUGAGAUGAAUUUGAUUACUCGGAGACCACCUAUGAACAAGACAGCCAUCGUCGAUGAGAUAAGAAGGUAGAGAAAUUCAAAACAUGAGGAUAUGCUCUUAAUACCCUAUUGAAGGUAACACUAUAGUAUAAAUAGCUUUUAUUCCUUCUUUUAACAGAAAACUCAAUUGUGAACGAAUUUUUUUGCUAAUUCUUGAUUUUAGGAAGAGGAAGAUCUUGUUACUGCUCAUAGGAGACAGGUGGAGGAGACAAUGGAAAUCGUUGGGGAGGUUAGUGAAACUUGCUUAUAUUUACAUGUUGCCUAUUAGUUUAGCUCAAUGUUACCUGGAAAACACAGAUUGUUUUGGUAUGAGGAACGGGACAGGAACAUGAUAUGCCACGUGCCGUAAAUUGUGGUGCGAUAGGAGAUUAUGAUAUUUGUAUAUAUCUCGUUCAAUCUAUAAUCAUCUAAAAAGACUAUUAUUUUUUAAAUAAUUCAUGUAAAACACAUUUAUAGCAACAUUGUGUCAUUUUUUUUUUUUACAUUUUGUAUAGCCAGAACAUCACUUUCUAGAUUUUUAGUUUACUAAAUUUCAUUUUUUACUCGUAAGGGACAUGCUUGAGAAAUAAGUAGGACAAAUAUUAAGGAUUGCUUUAAAUUGCUAAAUUUACCGUAUUGAAACAAAAGUGUACUUUUUUUUUAGAACUUGUGUACAAAAACGAAAUUCACUGGGGUACUACUGUUUUUAGGUUACCCUGUUGACAUUACUAUGCUUAUAUGUACAUAUUGCCUUAGCACACAGUGAGAUUAACCUGCUGUUGAAGUUGAACAACCGGCAAUCAGUUGGAAGGACUAAAUAGCUAGAUUGAAUGCGAUUCUUUCCUCAGAAUGACUGCAGCAAUUCUCGAACUCCAAACCCGCCUUGCUCCACUUUCAGAGGCAUCUGAAGGAGUACAAUGUUUUUGUGUCUUCUCCGGGCAACUUAUUUUCGUCGAGACAGUGAAAGCAAACCGCCCAUGUGGAUUUAUCUAUCAUUAUCAUUGUGGGGGAUUUGUUUGGAUGCGCAGACUUGCACCCUUUUACAUGGUGACAAUUUUGUGGGAGAUUGCUUUUUUUUCGUGUCUACGGGGUUUGUUUCCUUUUUAUUCAUCGGGUUUCGGCUUUGUAGUCUUAUUCAAACCUAAAUGUUUUGUUCACUGUGAGUGAUAGAAGUUUAUAUGUGUGUGCCUAUUCAUUGGCAUCAUCUUGUAAAGCUGAAGACCUAUUUCGCAAUUAAUAGCAUUCUCAGCCCGGAAGUUUUACAACAACCCUUUUGAAAAUGAUUUUUCUUGCAGGUCCAUUGUUACAGAAACAGCAAUUUUUGUAGUGUUUUUAUUUAUGGAUUUUCUGUAGAAUAUCAGUUUUCCUACCCUUUUAAUCCCACGUUUUAAAAGGUUAUUAGACCAAGUUUAGUAGAGGUCCAGAAAACAGAGAGAAAUAAGAGAUCUUAAUAUUACUUGUCUACUAUCUAUUUAUCUAUAUUUUUUUUCCGGGUCUACAGUUCAUCCAAGGGUUCACCCUUUCUACCACUGGACUACAUUGAUGGAUUUGCUAGAUAUCAACACUUCUUGUAACGUGUAUAGGGCUAUGAUGAAGAAAUUAAUCACAUAAUUAGUUUUGAAAUGUCUUUAGUAACCAAAAGAAUGCAAUAUUGGUUAGAAUUUUUAGCGAAUUUGGAGCAGCAACGCAUUGCAGUUGAUUGAAAACUACAGGGACCAAUGAUAGAAUCUACCCAAGUUUUGGGGUAUUUUCUGUGGCAUAUUCCAGGGAAAGGGAAAGGAGUAGACAGGGAAUACAUAUAUAUAGGUGCUAUUUCAAUCGGAGGGUCAAGAUGGAAAGGGACCCACUUGAAAGAACAGUGGCACAAAAAUUGAACAGUCAAGAUCCACCAAAUCAGAGAUUGCUAAGGCACGAUGCAUGCAUAUACUGAAGAAGUACAUGUCAUGAUCACGUCUUGUUUUAUAAAAUAGACGGUUAAAAUUUACAAGCAAAUCAGUCAUUUAUCUCUUGAAACUAAACACAAAUUCAUAUGUAUCUAAAUGGAGCUCAAUUUUUUUUGACAUUUUUGUGUACUUUCACCACUGCUCAAUGGGACGUGAUUAGCAAAAAAAAUAUUAUGACUUGCCAUGUGUUGGUUGCAAAAUUUAGCACUUGUCGCGCAUUAAACCGGCAUGGGGCUACGUGCGCUAACUCAAUUAUUGUUUCAAAUCAAUAGUAAUUUAUCAGAAAGUUGUUAGAAACAUGAAAGCACACAACUCCCAAAGCUCUUUUAGGGUUGACAUGGUUGAUGGUUUAUUGAACUAGUGAAAACAACAAUUGAGUUGGACGAGGAAAGAUGGAAGCAAGAAGGCUAUGGAGUGGAAAAUUUUGAGAGAAGCUCUUUGAAGAGAUUCCAAUUAAUCCCACUUUUAUCUUACCUACUUCACUUAAACCAACUUUUGUAGUCCCCUGCCGGCCAUGCACCAUUUUAGCUAUCGACAGGGCACAUAUCGAUACACGUAUAUAUUGGUGUAGCAUGUACCAUUUCAAAUUUAUAAUUAUAUAUAUUAUUAAUAUUUCACAUGUAACUUUUAAGAGUUAAUAAAACUCUAAAUAAAGUAAUAUUUAACUACGCAUUCCAAAUUUUAAGAUAUUCAAAUAACAAAUUAUAAGUUUUAAGUAAAAAAGACGAUUAUAAACCAAUUUGGCUUUAAAAUUACCAAAGCACCCUUUUAAAAGUUCAAAUUUUUUGAAAAUAUCGAUUCUAUCGGUAUGAGGUGGAACAUGGUGGUACAACUUGAUAUAAGUCGCUACACUAGAUAAAGGCCAAUACUUUAGUGAUACGGGACAUAGAAUUAAGCGUAUCAUUUUUCAUCCGAUACCGGCUAGUAUAGUACGAGAUUGAUAACUUUGCUGUCAAGUACUCUAUUUGUUUCAUUCUAUUUGUUCAUUCGGAGAUUUUUAACUUUUUAAAAAAUGCAUUUAAUGCAUUUAAAUUUUGAUAAAAACAGUUGAUUUUUAAGUUGUCUUUGUAUCCCCAGUUUUAAAAGUAUUUAUAAUUACUUGAAAAAUAGAGUUUUGGAAAAUUAACAAGUUUUAUGGAAUAAUCUCGUUGAAGCUGGACCUUGACACUAUGAUUAACACAUUAAUCAAACCUAAGUAGCUUUCAUAUCUUUUUCUUUUAAAACCUUAAAGUUGUAAUUGGAUCAAGACUGUACAGAAAAAUUUAUCCAUGGUGACAAUUUUGUGAGAGAUUGGUUUUUUUCGAGUGCGUCAACGAGGUUUGUUUCCUUUUUAUUCAUCGGCUUUGUAGUCUAUAUUCAAACCUAAUGUUGUUGUUCACUGUGAGUGAUAAGAAGUUAUAUGUGUGUGCCUAUUCAUUGGCAUCAUCUUGUAAAGCUCUGAGACAAUAUUGUCGCAAGUAAUGCAUUCUCGCCGGAAGUUUAAAAAAAAAAAUUGAAAUGAUUUUUGUUACCAGGAUGCCAUUGUUGCAGCAUUUUUGUAGUGUUUUUAUUUAUGGAUUUUCUGUAGAAUAUCAGUUUCCUACCCUUUUAUACCACGUUUAAAGGUUAUUGGACAAAAAGUUUAUGUAGAGAAAGGUAUUCAAAUUAUGUAUGUAGCUUACUAGAGGUCCCAGAAAAAAGAGAAAUAAGAGAUUUUAAUAUUACUUGUCUACUAUCUGUCUAUCUAUAUUUUUUUUCCAAGUCUACAGUUCAUCAUAGGGUUCGCCCUUACUACCACUGGAUUAUAUGGGUGGAUUUGCUAGAUAUCAACCCUCUUGUAACAUGGAUAGGGCUAUGAUGAAGAAAUUAAUCACAUAAUUAGUUUUGAAAUGUCUGUAGUAACCAAAAGAAUGCAAUAUUGGUUAGAAUUUUUAGCGAAGAGCAGCAACGCAUUGCAAUUGAUUGAAAAUUAUAGGGACCAAUGAUAGAAUCUACCCAAGUUUUGGGGUGUUUUCUGUGGCAUAUUCCAGGCAAAGGGAAAGGAGAAGACAGGGAAUACAUAUAUAUAUAGGUGCUAUUU